rnacentral:rRNA from 1 species
AACAUAACCUUUAGCUUAACAAAUAUUAAAGGCAACGCCUGCCCAGUGAACAAUUAAACGGCCGCGGUACCCUAACCGUGCAAAGGUAGCAUAAUCAUUUGUCUACUAAUUAUAGACCUGUAUGAAAGGCAAAAUGAGGGUCUAACUGUCUCUUAUAGUACAUCAAUUAAACUGAUCUUCUAGUAAAAAAGCUAGAAUUAAUACAUAAGACCAGAAGACCCCGUGAAGCUUAAACUAAACUAUUAAACCUAAUAAUAACUACUUUCGGUUGGGGCGACCUUGGAAAAAAAAAGAACUUCCAAAUAACACAUGGUAUAACAUGAACUAAAGGCCCACAAGCCAUUACAAGACCCAGCUAAGCUGAUAAUUGAAACAAGUUACUCCGGGGAUAACAGCGCAAUCUUCUUCAAGAGCCCAUAUCAAAAAGAAGGUUUACGACCUCGAUGUUGGAUCAGGACAUCCUAAUGGUGCAGAAGCUAUUAAGGGUUCGUUUGUUCAACGAUUAACAGUCCCACGUGAUC